GGAGGGGUGGACAGCGGCUGUCAAGCGGUCUUGAAAACCGUCGCCCUUUUGGGGGUUGCAGGUUCGAAUCCUGUCCCCUCCGCGA
rnacentral:tRNA from 1 species